GAUGAACGCUGGCGGCGUGCCUAACACAUGCGAGUCGAACGGAGAUUCCGGACGGAAGUUUUCGGAUGGAAGACUGUAAUUCUUAGUGGCGGACGGGUGAGUAACGCGUGGGCAACCUGCCCUAUACAGGGGGAUAGCAGCUGGAAACGGCUGGUAAGACCGCAUAAGUCGGCGAGACCGCAUGGUUUUGCCGGGAAAUGAGCAAUCAGGUAUAGGAUGGGCCCGCGUCCGAUUAGCCAGUUGGCAGGGUAAAAGCCUACCAAAGCAACGAUCGGUAGCCGGACUGAGAGGUCGGACGGCCACAUUGGGACUGAGACACGGCCCAAACUCCUACGGGAGGCAGCAGUGGGGGAUAUUGCACAAUGGAGGAAACUCUGAUGCAGCGACGCCGCGUGAGUGAAGAAGUAUUUCGGUAUGUAAAGCUCUAUCAGCAGGGAAGAUGAUGACGGUACCUGACGAAGAAGCCCCGGCUAACUACGUG
rnacentral:rRNA from 1 species